rnacentral:lncRNA from 1 species
GGGUGGUGCUGCAGACUGGGGCGACGCUGGAGACAGAGAUGGAGAGUCGUGGUUGUGGGAGGGGGAGGGGUGGUGCUGCAGACCGGGGCGACGCUGGAGACAGAGAUGGAGAGUCGGGAGAUUUUUUUCUUUAUGUCGGAUGCGGCUACAUUGAGUGGUAUUUGCUAAAGUGUGAUUCACGUGGGGAGCCGAAUCAUGGUAUUUUGAAAGCUAGAUAAAAACCGAUCCGGGUGAAGCGAAGGGAGUUUGAGGGACGAUUGCA